UUUCAAAUUUUCCAAUUUUCCAAGUUGCUUUAUUUUCCAAUUACCCAAAUUUCCAAUUUCCAAUUUCCAAAUUUCCUAUUUUCCAAGUGUCCUUUUUUCCUUUUUCCAAUUUUCCAAUUUUCCAAGUGUCAUUUUAUCCUAUUGCCUAGUUUCCUCUUUCCAAUUUUUCCUUUUUUCCUAUUUCCAAUUUUCCAAAUUUCCCAAAUUUCCAACUUUCCAUUUUUUCGUAUUUCCGAUUUGCCAAUUUUCCUUUUGUUCUAUUUCCAAUUUUCCAAGUUUCCUUAUUUCCCA
rnacentral:lncRNA from 1 species